UCUAUGAAGUCUUUUUUUUUUUUGCUCAUGACAGCAAUUAAUCAGAUAUGCCACUGUCUUUAUCUUAACUCAUUAUUUUUUCUUCCUAUUCAGGUGAGGAGAGGGAAUGAGAGGGCAUCUGGCUGGGCAUCUAGCAACUAAGAGGAUUGUGGAAGACAAUUGAGUAUGGAUCCUACUGUUUCCACUCUAACUACUAUGCAGAAGUUGCCAGUAUAAAAGGCCCUCAUCAUAAUUCCUGUGAUUCUGUCUGGGAAAAAAAAGAAAAAAAGGAAAGUCAAAUUCUACAUAUAGAUUUAUGUAUAUAUAUUUAUAUAUAUUACCAGCUGUUUGAGCUGAGGACAGAAUUUUGUCCCUAAAAUAGAAUAUUUCUUGCUUCCAAUGUAACUUCCUUCCAUGUAAGGAGAAAAUCAAUGCAAACUUCAGGUAUUUUUGAAGAUCACAAAGAAAUAAAGCUGGGUUUAUUAAAAUCAAUAAUAUUUAUAUUAAAAAACCUGGUAUUUGCUCUGUAGAGGUAGAAGAUCUGAACUUCUGGAUCUCUAUCAUAAAGAAAAUAGCAUUUUCCAUAUUUUUUAUGCUUAGUAUCUGUGAAAUAUAGUACAGAUUACAUGCCAAAAAAUCUGACAUAAAUUCCACUGAGACUGGUAUCUCAGUAAAGAAAGCACAAACCAGGGAUGAAUGAACAGAAACAAUAUGUUAUGAGAAAAUAAGGAGGUAAAGAGACUUGUAUAAACAAUAUCUGGACACUAUCUAAUUUACUAAACAAUCUUUCACUGUAAUUGAUUAGAAAAUUAGAAAUUCUCAUCAAACUCACAUUUUUCACAAGUUUAAUAUAUACAUGUAUGAGGAAUACUUCAACCUAACAGAUUUAAUUACACCAGACAUUAUACUGUUUAUCAUUAUGUUUGGAGAGCAUACAAUAGCCACAUACCUAUGUUUGAAUUUGCCAUUGUAAACUAGCAUGAAAUGCGUAUACUGUAUUAUGGAAAAGUUGUGAGCUUCCUGGGAUGAAAGAGCAGUCAUUCCUUAAAUUCAGAGGACGUUGUUGAUCUGGAGUAAAUUGUGAUGAUUAAAAUGUUUUAAAUAAAAAUCUCAUAAACAUAUAUAUUUUAAAUUAAGACCAUCGUUAUUAAGGGAAAUACACUUAUGAAAGGAUUUAAGUCCUUGUAAAGCUCCAUCGGACCAUGAUUGCUGUCCUGAAAGCAUAUUAAAAUUCCUCUGCUCAACAACUAUACAGUUGGGAUCUCUCACUGAAGCUGCAUGUCAAUAGCCAAAUGUUUCCUCCCAUACCUGUUGAAGUGUUGUGCUUUGCAUCAGUGCUUAGCAACGGUCUUUGCCUUAAGGCACAGUUGCUCUUGUUUCAUGCAUAUGUGUUUUGUCUGUUACCAACACCUAUCAUGACUGAAUGAUGUUCUAAAAAUCCUAAAUAAGAAAUAUUGAUAGUAAUGUUUAUGGCAGUUACUGCUCAAAAUAAACUACUUCAACAUUGGAAAAUUGAAGGCUAACAUUUUUGAAUACGUUUCAAGCUCUCAAGUUCUAUAUAUUUGUGAAAGCAAAAUAAAUAAAUAUAAAAUUUCAAUAAAAAGAAUAAGAGUAUGGAAACAAGGAAUGUUUGUUUAUACAUGUAAAAGAGUUUGACUGUUUCCACAGUUGUGAAGAAAGAUACCAGAAGAAUGAAUGAAAGUGAUUCUUUGACUUAGCCUAGGAAAAUGAAUAUUGAUAGGUGAUAUGAUCAUCUGUAAUGAACACAAUCUCAGAUUGAAUACUAGUGAGAGAGAAGAAUACGUAAUGUGAAAGAUAAUGUUAGUUCAAACAGAAUAGAUGGAAAUAAAAUCUGCAUGUCUUUGAACAAGAAAUUGUGAAGAUGUUUAAAAUCAUGAGUGGUUUAAUAUUUGUAAUGCUGUUGAAAGAGUAUUUAUUUAUUUAUUUGUUUUCCAGAGUACAGUGAUUAAGGCCAUUGAAACAAAGAACAUUCAUGAGCCUAAAAGAUUUUUGUUUUCUAUGUUAGUCCACAGAGAGAAAUCUAGGAGUGCUGGCAAUUCACUAUCUGCUGAAGCACAUAAAAUUGGCCUCAGGUAUCAAAAAAACUGUUGUACAAAUUACAUUUGUCAUUAUAAUAGUUUUGAGAAACCUGUAGGGCAGCUGGCCUUUCUCACCUGUCUGAGAUCACAAGAUUAGUUCUAUCACCAGAAAUAACUUUCUCUAAGGUCAGAUUGUCACACAAUUAACUCAUUAUUAUUACUUAAUACAUUUCUUGUCAGCAUUAUUUUUUAUUUUAUUCCUAUUUUAUUCCUAUUGUUUUCCUGUGAUAGCUAUUUUUAGGUUUCUGAUCUUAUAUAAAAAUUUUAAAUAGCUUGAAUUCACAAGCUUUAGAAAAAGAGGAUAAACAACUGUGCUGGGAGGCAUUCAAGGUCAGGUUGUAUUGGGGCAGUGGACAACCUGAUUCAGUGGGUAGCAACCCUACUCAUGGUGAAGGAUCUGGAGCCAGAUGAUUUUUAAGGUCCCUUUAAAUCCAGUUCAUUAUAUGAUUAUAUGAUGCUUUUGAUCAACACAGUGCACAGUAUAUAGAUGGUCCUGGGUUAUUACAGAGAACAAAACUAAUUGAUCACAAAAUGUCCUUAGAUUAAAAUACUCUUAAGCACAUCCAAGAAUUGUCUGGAAAUAUGUGUAGAGGGCUCAGGAAAAAAACUGUAAUUUAAAAUCUUAACAAAAGGUAUGAUUUAAUUUCAGUGUCUCCAAAAAUGUUUCUUGACUCUCUUUAGCAUAUUAAUACAAUCAUAGAUGCAUUCUUCUACUCUUUGGUUUACCACACUUGAUGAUUGCAAAGGUUUUGCAAGAGAGUAAUCAUUCAGAAUUUCAGUCUUCAUUGAAAAGAGUGCAGUAAGGAACAUCAAAAUAAAAAUUAGAGUGUAUCUGAUGCAGCUGGAAAAGAGAUGUUCAAAGGAGUACUAACCAGUGCUCUUAGUUUUCAAAGAGUUUGAAACAAUAGAUUAACAUUAAUAUUAAUUAGUCCAUUAAUUUUAAAAGAUUAAUUUACGUAGCUGGUACAUAUAAAUACUGUACCUACAGAGUAAAAAAUGUAAUCAAAAAGGUAAAUGAACUACUAUACAAAACAUGAUGCAGAUUUUUUAGACAUCUAUUUAAACUCAGGAAGUUAAUUGAAGGUUAGAUUAUCUUUCAAAAUCUGUUUUCAUCUGAGAAUUACAAACUUACCUAACAGGACAGUAUUUUAUUCCAGACAGCUGUUAUAUGAGUUGUAAUGUUAAAGAACCCAAAUUACAUUUUUGUAGACUGACUUUUUCUUUUCUAGAGCAGUUCUAGUUCACUUCUCUAUGGGAUUUUAUCUGUGAGCAAACUACCCUUAUACUGGAAAUCCAAUCCAGCAAAGAAUUGUGUAUUAAAUAUUUGACCCAAAUAAACAUCAGAAAUUCAUAACAAAGGGAAUAGAAGUUUUCUCUACUAAGCCUUUCCAGUUCUCUCCACCAUCCCACUGAAGGGAAGUAAACAAGCAAUAGAGUGAGGGUUUACAAGCCAGAUGGGGUGAAUUCACUACAUUUGUAAAUCACUAACUGAAGGAAAUUUCCUCGUGACUGUUCAAGAAAAUUGCAAGUGUCUGCUCUGAGAUCAUUUUACAAAGAGUCACAAAGAGAUUGCAUCUGCUCUUUCAGAAGUACCAGAAAGCCCUAUAAAUCUUAAAGUGAAUGAGAACGCUGUCAGUGAUCAGAACUGUGAGAUGCUGCAAGUGCUACUUGUCUGUCUAUCUGUAUGUCUGCUUAUGUCAGAAAUAAAGUGAGAUGAGGAAAACAUAGAUAUCUUGGGAUAUUUAGAUGAGAGAGAAUUUUCUAUUUGCAUGAAAAGUAUUUUAGGUAUUUUGAUUCUGCCGUCAUUAAAAUCAUUCUAGCUUGUAACAAGUCUGUUACUCUCUGAAAACAGAAUCAUAGAAUCCUCUGAAUUGGAAUAGACCUUUAAAGAUCACCUAGUCCAACUCCUGUGCAAUGAACAGGGACAUCAACAGCUAGAUCAUAUUGCCAGAGCAGAGAGCUGUAUUCAAUUUUGUGAUUGAAUGCAGCAUACUUUAUAAGAGAUUGCAUCUCUGGCUACUGAAACAGCUACAGAAAUGCAGUACUCUCCUAAUUACAAAAAAACCUCAUCUCCUGCAUGGACAUUUCACAGAGUAAAAUGCUAUCUGGAAAUCAAAAAAAAAAAAAAAAAAAAGAUUCUUCAUCUUUCUUUCCUACAUAAAAUAGAUGAUGAAGAUUAGUAGUGAAUUUUCAUACUUAAAUUGGGAUAGAUAUGUUUAUACACUAAAAUUAAUGUCAAUAUCAUAUUAAAAUAGCUGGACACUUACUGCAACAGUUAUGUGUUUAAGAGAUUUUCAUCACAACACAAUUGCCUUCGUUGAGUGCAAACUUUUUACAUUUUGUCUAAAUUCCUGCCAGUAAGCAUAGGUCUUCCCAAAGGUUUCCUACGUGUUUUAUAAUCCACAGUAUUUUUAAUGGCACAUUUUUAAAAAUUUUGCUUUCUUUUUUCUAUUUUCGUUUAGAGGAGCCUAAGCACAGAAAUAACCACCAAUAUUUACUACUCAGCAAUUCUUGAUUAUGCCAACAUCCUUUGGGGGAGCAUUGAUUUUAUCUUCUUCCCAGAAACCUGCAGGCAAUUGUGUACCUAAAAUUUAAUUUGUGUUUAAAGACAGAAAGCAAGGAAAAGCAACAGUACUGGUGUUGCAAAACCAUUUGGCUUGGGAGAGUUUGCCUAUAAAGUUACAGAGAAAAUCAUGCUAAUUUGACUUGUGUUCACCAAAAUUGAGAUUACUGUGGGGUCUCUCUCCUUGAAGAUAUCCAAAAGCCUCCUGGUCAUAGAAUCAUAGAAUCAUUUGAGUUAGAAGAGGCCUUUAAAUGUCAUCUAAUCCCUCCAGUUUGCUAAGAGCCCCGACCAGCCUGACCUUGAAUAUCUCCAGGGACAGGACAUCUACUACCUCUCUGGGCAACCUGUUCCAGUGCUUCACCAACCUUAUUGUAAAAAACUUUUUUCUUUAUAUCCAAUCUAAAUCUCCCCUCUUUUAGUUUGAAACCAUUUCCCCUUGUCCUAUCACUACAGAUCCUGCUAAAGAGCCUGUCCCCUUCUUCCUUAUAAUCUUCUCUUUAGAUACCAAACAGCCACUAUCAGAUCUUCCCGUAACCUUCUCUUCUCCAGGCUGUAUAGCCCCGGCACUCUCAGCCUGUCCUCACAGGAGAUGUGUUUCAUCAUCUGGAUCAUUUCUGCAGCCUUCCUUGGCCAAUGUGACAAUGAUUAUUCAAGCAUUUUGCUGAAAUAAUCGUUAAAGUUACAAGAUAUAUUUUCAAUACAAUAGUCCUAUUUUACACUGUUCUAGUUGUUUCUUUUUUUUUUUUCAAUAAAAUUAUGAUCUUAUUUUAUUUAAGAAAAGAGCUCAUUAACAUUUAUGAAAGGAUUAUCUGGUGCCUGUUUUCUUCAGCAGUUUCCACUGCAUAAAACUUGAUCAUAAUUUCUGACUUGUAAUUAGUGCUGUCAUUAACCUGCUCAUGCUGUUAAUCCCAAUAAGUUUUUAAAAUUUUAUGAUUUGAAAAAUGGAAAAAUGUUCAAAACUACACCAGCAAGAAAUCAUUUUACCUAGCUUUAUCAUAGUAUGCAAAAGAUACCAAAGUGAGCCUAAAAUUAUUGUGUUAUUAUGCAGUCCUUCCAACAUGACACUGGAAGAUUAGGAAGCAUUGACCUGACUGAGAGCUCAAAUAAGUAUUGAGUAGGAACAGAUCAGCAAAGAUAAAGACAAUCUUACAUGUCUUUUUUUUUUUUUUCUUUUUUUUUCAAUCUUGUCAAUCUUGUUAUAUGUUCUCUAAUGCCCUGUGGAAUUUUUCUCCUAUUUGUUAACUCUGAAUAUUGUGUUGGUCACAUUAUUUCAAAAGUAAUUCCAUUAUGUCAAAUUACAUUAUUUCUCAAACUAUUCUAUGUGUUGCUUAAUGUUUUUUGUCUAUAUCUACUCUACUGACAUGCUUUUUAAAACAGGUAACAUUUUACUAAGAAACGUCACUAAAUUUAGAUUGCCUCAUCUCAAAUUACCAUUUAUUAUCUUAUACAAUUAGUUCAGAAUUCUCUUGCACUAUGAUUAAUUUUCCUUCAGUUCUUCAGAAUAGAAAGGAAUAUUGGAAAAACAAUACCAAAAAUAUCCUAAAAAUAUCAUUCCCACACACCUCUCUAUACUCUUUUGACUCUAUAGAAAAUUUCAUAGUGUAUAAUCUUUUCCAAGAGAAGCAUUUUCCAAGAGAAAAAAUUUUCUUCCAGAAAUAUGUUGAAUUAUAGAAGUUUUAUUUUGAGGUUAAAGAGGUAGCAUAUAUGUGCAUGUAUACAUAUAUAAAUAAUGAAUAAAUUCCAAUGUGUAUUCAAAUUUUGAAUCAGCAAAAAAAUGCGGAGGAUUUCCAUUACUUGAUAAGCAACAAAAAGAACACUGGAAAGAUACAAAAUUACAGGGAAGUUACCAAACUUUAAGAAGAACUUCAUCAGUAUGGACAGCAAAAGACAAGAGAAACUUUGACAAGGAAGAUAUGAGAAUAGGAGGGGAAAGAUUUUAAUACCUUUUCAAUGAACCAUUGGAAGAUGUCUACCUACCAGACUACCUUGAAUCUUAUUUAUCAGUAGGAGAAAUUACAGGCUCAAAUGUGUUUUAUUUAUCCCUAAAAUACUGAAAAGGAAAUUCUCAUUUGAUUUACUACUUUUCUAACUUAAUGGGUUCCUCCUAACAUUUAAGAAAAAAAAAAAAUAAUAAUCCAUUUUGAAGAAGCUAAAAGCCUGGAAAAGAUAAUGAAAGGCUGUAAUUAUUUUAUGUCUUUAUGAAAGUUCCUCAGAGGUUGUAUCUAUUAUGUCAUAUAUGACUUCUACUGGGAGAACUUACAAAUUACAUGCACUAGUCAGCUUUACACCACAAAAGUUAUUUACCGUAAGAAACAGCUCAGGAGUCUUCAAAGCCUUUAAAAAGGUCUUCAUAUGUUCACAUGUUAAGAGAACUCCCCAACUAUUCUACAAUUUUUUUCAAAAUUAUAUUUGUUGAGCUAUACAUAAAAGUUCCAUAUUAAAGUGUGAUUAGAUUUUAAGAGGUGUUUAAUGAUAGUUCUGUGUUUAAUAAGUCAAUAUAAAUGUAUUCAUGUAACAACAGUCUAAAAUUCCUCACUUGUAUUUUGACAGAUAUUCAUGGAAAAAGGAAAAAGGAUCUUCAGACAGUUUGGAAAAAAAGUUAUGUAAUUUAAGUGUCAUUCUCUGAUGAACUUGUCUUGCAACUCAACUGAAAUAAUGCUGAAUUCAUUUUAAAAAGUAAUUUUUAAGCUAUUUCAUCUUCAACACUAACAAUUUAUUCCUGCCCAGCCCCAUGGAUUCAUUAAAGUUCAGAUAGUUAGGAGGUCUCUUAUAACAAGAAGGACUUCCUAUAAAGGAUAUAGAAGGAAAGAAAUCACCGCUUUCAAUUUUGUUAUUGAAACAGAACUGUAAAGGUGGAUUCUGCCCAGUGAGGCCUCUCCAGCUGAGAGGUUUAAAUAACUGAGAGACAUGAAAUUAAAGACACUUUUAUCUCCUUAGUAUAUUCCUAUGAGCUAGAUUUGAUACAUUCUUUGGUUAGAGUCCUGCUUAUGUUAGUAUGCUGAAACAUGUAGCUGUUAUGCUAUCUUUAGGAAACUUAGACACAAGCACCUAUCAGGAUUUUCCUUUUAAGGCUGUAUUCAAUCCACAGCUAUCUACAUGUUAUAUGCUUACUUACCUAUUUACCUACCAAUCAUGUGCUAAAAACCUGGGAAAAUAAAAAGGAAAUAAUGCAGAGAA